AACGAACGCUGGCGGCAUGCCUAACACAUGCAAGUCGAACGAGACCUUCGGGUCUAGUGGCGCACGGGUGCGUAACGCGUGGGAACCUGCCCUUAGGUUCGGAAUAACUCCCCGAAAGGGGUGCUAAUACCGGAUAAUGUCUUCGGACCAAAGAUUUAUCGCCUUUGGAUGGGCCCGCGUUGGAUUAGCUAGUUGGUAGGGUAAAAGCCUACCAAGGCGACGAUCCAUAGCUGGUCUGAGAGGAUGAUCAGCCACACUGGGACUGAGACACGGCCCAGACUCCUACGGGAGGCAGCAGUGGGGAAUAUUGGACAAUGGGCGAAAGCCUGAUCCAGCAAUGCCGCGUGAGUGAUGAAGGCCUUAGAGUUGUAAAGCUCUUUUACCCGUGAUGAUAAUGACAGUACCGGGAGAAUAAGCUCCGGCUAACUCCGUG
rnacentral:rRNA from 1 species